rnacentral:misc_RNA from 1 species
GAUGAAGAACGUAGCGAAAUGCGAUAAGUAAUGUGAAUUGCAGAAUUCAGUGAAUCAUCGAAUCUUUGAACGCACCUUGCGCCCUUUGGCUAUUCUGAAGGGCAUGCCUGUUUGAGUAUCAUGAACACCUCAACUCUCAUGGUUUGCCAUGAUGAGCUUGGACUUUGGGGGUCUUGCUGGCCUACGGUCGGCUCCUCUCAAAUGAAUCAGCUUGCCAGUGUUUGGUGGCAUCACGGGUGUGAUAACUAUCUACGCUUGUGGUUUCCCGCCAGGUAACCUUCAGUGAUGGAGGUUCGCUGGGGCUCAUAAAUGUCCCUCCACAGUGAGGACAGCUUUUGAACGUUUGAUCUCACAUCAGGUAGGACUACCCGCUGAACUUAAGCAUAUCAAUAAGCGGAGGA